UUGGAAACCAGCAGGAGUGAGACA
rnacentral:piRNA from 1 species